GGCUAUGAGGAUGAUCUGGCUGUGACAUCUGUCACAUUAGCGAUUGCCAGGGUUGAUUUGGCUGACCCGGCUGGUGGGGCAGCUGUCCCCUCUUCCUCCUUCAUUGCUCCCCGUGACUCCCAUCCCCCCAUCCUUUAUCUUGCAUUAUUUAAAAAAUCACACACAUUAGUGUGCUUUUAGGUAAACCUGACCUAAUGCACUGAUAUAUUUAAUUGAUGCAAAUGUUUUUUAAAAUACAAGGAACUAUAUUUCAUUGUUAGGUGUUUU
ensembl:misc_RNA 7SK 7SK RNA